rnacentral:rRNA from 1 species
GAGGUGGCAAGCGUUGUUCGGAUUUACUGGGCGUAAAGGGCGCGUAGGCGGCCAAAUGUGUCGGAUGUGAGAGCUCCGGGCUCAACCCGGAAAGUGCGUUCGAAACUGUUUGGCUGGAGUACGGAAGGGGGAUGCGGAAUGCAGGGUGUAGCGGUGAAAUGCGUUGAUAUCCUGCAGAACACCGGUGGCGAAGGCGGCAUCCUGGGACGUUACUGACGCUGAGGCGCGAAAGCAGGGGGAGCAAA